GAUGAACGCUGGCGGCGUGCCUAAUACAUGCAAGUCGAGCGAACGGACGAGAAGUUUGCUUCUCUGAUGUUAGCGGCGGACGGGUGAGUAACACGUGGAUAACCUACCUAUAAGACUGGGAUAACUUCGGGAAACCGUAGCUAAUACCGGAUAAUAUUUUGAACCGCAUGGUUCAAAAGUGAAAGACGGUCUUGCUGUCACUUAUAGAUGGAUCCGCGCUGCAUUAGCUAGUUGGUAAGGUAACGGCUUACCAAGGCAACGAUGCAUAGCCGACCUGAGAGGGUGAUCGGCCACACUGGAACUGAGACACGGUCCAGACUCCUACGGGAGGCAGCAGUAGGGAAUCUUCCGCAAUGGGCGAAAGCCUGACGGAGCAACGCCGCGUGAGUGAUGAAGGUCUUCGGAUCGUAAAACUCUGUUAUUAGGGAAGAACAUAUGUGUAAGUAACUGUGCACAUCUUGACGGUACCUAAUCAGAAAGCCACGGCUAACUACGUG
rnacentral:rRNA from 1 species